rnacentral:rRNA from 1 species
CAGUAGCCGCGGUAAAACGUAGGGUGCAAGCGUUAAUCGGAAUUACUGGGCGUAAAGCGUGCGCAGGCGGUUAUAUAAGACAGAUGUGUAAUCCCCGGGCUCAACCUGGGAACUGCAUUUGUGACUGUAUAGCUAGAGUACGGCAGAGGGGGAUGGAAUUCCGCGUGUAGCAGUGAAAUGCGUAGAUAUGCGGAGGAACACCGAUGGCGAAGGCAAUCCCCUGGGCCUGUACUGACGCUCAUGCACGAAAGCGUGGGGAGCAAACAGGAUUAGAUACCCCUGUAGUCCCUGUCUCUUAUAC